GACGAACGCUGGCGGCGUGCUUAACACAUGCAAGUCGAACGGAAAGGCCCUGCUUUUGUGGGGUGCUCGAGUGGCGAACGGGUGAGUAACACGUGAGUAACCUGCCCUUGACUUUGGGAUAACUUCAGGAAACUGGGGCUAAUACCGGAUAGGAGCUCCUGCUGCAUGGUGGGGGUUGGAAAGUUUCGGCGGUUGGGGAUGGACUCGCGGCUUAUCAACUUGUUGGUGGGGUAGUGGCUUACCAAGGCUUUGACGGGUAGCCGGCCUGAGAGGGUGACCGGCCACAUUGGGACUGAGAUACGGCCCAGACUCCUACGGGAGGCAGCAGUGGGGAAUAUUGCACAAUGGGCGGAAGCCUGAUGCAGCAACGCCGCAUGCGGGAUGACGGCCUUCGGGUUGUAAACCGCUUUCGCCUGUGACGAAGCGUGAGUGACGGUAAUGGGUAAAGAAGCACCGGCUAACUACGUG
rnacentral:rRNA from 1 species